UCACUUUGUGGACAAUUUUACAUUUGAAAGCAUUUCUUUGAAGAUGUUUGCCUUCAAAAUGGAGUGACCAGGAGUGUUUACUGACAGACAAUCUGUCCUGUGGCCAGAUAACUCCAGUGUGGUACGGGAGAUUGGGGAUGAUACCACUGUAUCCUGUGAAGGCAAGAUAUAAGUUGGCACUGCCCUGCUCCCUCAUAUUUGCUGGCUUACAUUUGCAAAGCCUGGAAGAUGGGAACAAAGGAGUUCCUGCUGAGAUCCAAAAGCCAGAAGCUGUCACUCCAAAAGAAGCUGACUUGACCACUUUGGACUUAUUUAUAAGUUUGUAAUGUCAUUGUUAGCUGUCGUCAGCUGAACAACACAACCUCCGACGACCCAUCACCACUGACAGCCCCUCCACCUCAUCCUCUCCCAUGAGCUUCCUGAUGGAUUUGUCAGAAACUGCGGGAAAUAAAAAUGGGGAGAAGGAAGAUGACCAUUUCUCUGGACAGGAAGGGAAAUCCCUGGCAUCUCUCCUGAGCUGUGCCCUCUCUCUCCAUGCUGGUGACCUAAUAGAGCCGCAAGUGACACGGGCUGACGUCACAAUGCAAUGCCCUGCAUCACAAGCACAUCUUCCCCAGGGCAGCGGCAGUGCCGGCACUUCUGUGCAAGGCCUGGGCGCUGCUGGAGCACUGCUCAGGGAUUCUGUCCUUCUGUAGCCAGGAGUCGGGUCAGGGGCAGCAAGGCUGUGCUAGGUGACCCUCGCUGACAUGUGGAGGAGCAGGGGCACCUCACAGAGAAUUGUUGGUUGAGGAGCCAGGAAGGGCAUCCUUUGUUCUGAGCUGAGGGCUGUCGGCAAGCAACAUGGAGGGCUGCUGGACUAUGACCAUCAGCUCGGAGCUGGUCUCCACCUUCCCAACACUCCUGCACCUCUCCACUGAAGAUAAGGCUUUCAGGACCCCCAUCCCAAGGCAACACAUGGGCCUGUUAGCUGUCAGAAGCCACAGCUCUGCUCUCUGAGGUUGGCUGGAUGUGGCAGGGGGCUGCUGCGAGAGCCCUGCCCAAGGGUCCCACUAGGCCCUGGGGACAAUGUGGCAGCCAGGCCCCGAUAGCAGAGCUGCCCAGAGCCCCCAGAUUCCUUUAGGCAUGGCUCGGUCCCCUGUGAUAGGGCAGUCCAAGGCCAGGUUUCCCUGGGAGCUGGUGCUUCUGUAGGAUCUGGCUCAGGGAUGAAAGACAUCCCAUGUCCCAGCAGCUUCCCCUGCUCGCAUUUCCCCUCUGGGCUCUCAGUAAGGCUGAAAUCAGGGCAAAGCCUGGCUCCAUAGCCAUAGUGGUGUUUUUCUGGGGUGUUUGCGUGUGCCUGUAUUGACCAUUCUCAUGGUGAGGAGCUUGCCAAGAGGUUGUGAAGAGGCUGGCCUGGAGCCUGACGUGUCUUUUCCUUCCUUUUGAGGGAUUGUGGCGGUCUGGGAUGCUGUGUCUUAUUACAUUCUAGAACAGCUGAAGAUGGACAAGGUGGGCUGGUGUCCUGGUGCCCCUCGCCCUGAGGGGCUCAGUCCUGCUGAGAGUCUUGGCCCUGCAGAGCAAUCCCUCCCCGGGUACCACGGCAGCACAGCGAGCCCAGCCCAGGUGCCCAGAGCAGCUUCUUGGCCAAGUGGGAGAGAAACUCACGUCCAGAGCUGCUCUGAGCAAAUGUUUGGCACACCCUAGCGUGUGACCCUUGGGGUUCACUCUGCCCUGUGGCCAGAAUGGGGAGAGCAAAUGGAGAAAUGGGGAUUUUUCUGGGUCCGUGCCAAGGACAAUCCUUGGUAACCAGUCCCAGGUUUAACCUCUGUGCUGUAAAUCCCCGGGCUUUUCUCUAGCCAAGGGAUGUUGGUGAUUGUAAAACAGAGACCCACAGCUCUUUUCCAGAGCAAAAGCUCCAGAGAGCCCCAUCUUGCCCCGCUGUCCCUCAGGAGUGGGGAGGGCAGAAGGCAGUGUCCCCAUGCUCUGACAUUCAUAACUUUUCCCACCUCUGCAGUACACACUCAUCAGCCUUUCUGUGUCUUCCCUGUGCAGGGAGUCCUGGUUGUGGGACUCGGGGCCUUUGCUGUGGUCCAAGAGCAGUUCCACAGCAAAGAAGGCGCUGUUACAGUUCAAAGACCUGUAUUCCCUCUGGACAUCGGUGUGCAGUGGCUGCAGGACCUCCAGUCUCCCACUGAGAUCAUCCCUGGUGAGAAGGCGGCAGCCACCUUCCCCCUUCUGGCACCACGUCCAGCAGGACGUGUUCUCCCCGCUCUCUGGAAAGGGCUGGGAGAAGCAGAGAACUGUCUGCCAAGGUCACGGUACAGCUUGAGUUCCUCCAAAAGAACCUGUGCCCGAAGAGCUGUUUCUCUAAAGGACCUUUUCUCUGGGAUUUGGUUAUGAAUGUUGCGUGGAAAUGUGGCUUGCUGUGGCAGGGAGGAUGUUCCCUCUCCUUGCAGACGGUGUCAAGAUGGAGCCGCUGAACUACCGGUGGCUAUCACAAGCCACUGCCUUCCUGCUGCACGUGGUGCAGCGCUGCGUGCAAGAGACCAUCGUCUUGUGCUGUCUCCUCCUGAGCAAGAAGGUGCACGUCCCAUUCACCUUCAAGGACAUCGGCGUUCUGACGUGUGAAGAUGACCUCCUUUGCCUGAGGAUCUAUUAUGACUGUGUUACAGUGCUGGAGGGCACUGCAAGCUGGGUUGCACUGCUCCACAGUGUAAGUUGAGGGGCUUUUGAGGGCUACCAUGUCUCUGGGAACCCUAUGGAAGAGUGUGCAGUCAGGUCACCGCUGGCCAGCCGGGAUGUGGCAGGCCACUCAAAUGCCUUUCCCCAUGCUCGCCCCCACUGCUUUCCAUAUUGGCAAAGGGAUUUCCUGGAUCCUUGCCCCUGCAGAAAGCCUGGCAGUGUUCUUGCACAGCCUCCAUAUUUUGCCGUGCAGCUCCUUCAGAGCAGAACAAAGAUCUGAUGUUCAUGGAAGAGGCUAUGGUGGAGGGUUUUGGAGAGACGCUAUCUUUUGGUGCAGGAGGCAGUUUUUCUUCCUGUCAAUGAGAGCUGUGAGAGAACUGCCUUGGAAAGCCUCCAGCAGGUCUGUGUUCCUUUGCGGAGAAUUUGGACUGAAUAUCCCGGGAACUUCAGCCCAAAGGCCACCACCCACGGGAUCCAGAUGUUCCUGAGGCCUGUGGGCCUGUGGGCCUGCAGUCCCCCUGUCACAGACACAGAUCCUUAGAUAACGCCGUGACACAAAGGAUGGAGCUCACCCGCAAGGCUGGGCUAGAAGGCACCGUGUUUCUUUCGAAACUGCUCCUGCUCUUUGAAGAAUGAGAAGCUCUCUUCAGAAGGAAAACGAAGAAUAGACGCCUGCUCCCCGAUCUCCCUGGGACCGUUUGCUCUCUCUCCCAGCCUCUUCAGGUGGCCAUAUCUAAGAGGGCAUGGCUGUUCCGGGGGUGUCUUCUGCCCUAAAAGCAUCCAGCCAAACUCAGGGCUGAAGAGGAAUCCAAAGGCCAAGCACCAGACCUGGGCCAAGUAAAGGCAGUGAAUCUCUGUGAUGUGUUUCUCUUCUUGUGCAGUCACCUUUGUAUUUUCCUUAGGUGGCUGCUGUGGUACUUGCUUGCUUUGGUCAACAGUGUCGUUAAUGGAAUACAAACUUUCAUGAUUCCUGCUGU